rnacentral:rRNA from 1 species
CCUACGGGAGGCAGCAGUGGGGAAUAUUGCACAAUGGGGGAAACCCUGAUGCAGCAACGCCGCGUGGGUGAAGGAGCGUUUCGGCGCGUAAAGCCCUGUCAGCGGGGAAGAAGAAAGACGGUACCCGACCCAGACGCCCCGGCUAACUACGUGCCAGCAGCCGCGGUAAUACGUAGGGGGCGAGCGUUAUCCGGAUUUAUUGGGUUUAAAGGGUGCGCAGGCGGAAGAUCAAGUCAGCGGUAAAAUUGAGAGGCUCAACCUCUUCGAGCCGUUGAAACUGGUUUUCUUGAGUGAGUGAGAAGUAUGCGGAAUGCGUGGUGUAGCGGUGAAAUGCAUAGAUAUCACGCAGAACUCCGAUUGCGAAGGCAGCAUACCGGCGCUCAACUGACGCUCAUGCACGAAAGUGUGGGUAUCGAACAGGAUUAGAUACCCUAGUAGUC